UAAUUGCCUAAGUCAGGGAUCGUGUUCAUGAAAGAAACAGCCUGUGACGGCGUGGAUGGAAAAUAGAACUGUUAUCAUAUUCACUCAACUCUGUACCCUGUUUUCGGAAUGCAGAUGCAUUUUCCCACUGCGAAGACAGAUAAAUGAAACUGUGGAAAGCACAUGAUCUCCAAGUUUCUAGAGUCUGAGAACAGCCUGGCCCUACUUCCAACUCCAUGAUUUAAACCAAAUUCACUGAAAAUUGCCAACCUCCAACGGCCAUGGACAAACAAUUACCCCCUGGAAUGGAAUGCUGCUUACUCAUUACCAUCAAAAUCCACUACUGACCAAACAGCAGCCCUGACCCAUCCCAGAGAAAUGAUCUAAGGGUGGAAUGGGCAGGGAAGUACUGACAGCAAGAUUCCCCUGAUCUCAUCCACCACUGAGUCAGACAGAGCCCAGGCCUGGUGACAGAAAAGAGCCAGGCCCUGCUUCCCCGAGUCAGGCAGUCCUUGUCCUGGUGGAUAGAAGGAGAAGGAGCAGCAUCCUCUCAUUUCCUUAAUGGGCUAUUGCUUUUUAUGUGAAUGAAUGGCUGAGCAUGAAACAGCCCAGCAGGAGCUGCGUGCAUCGGAGAUGAGACAGAAGCACAAAUCUAUUCCUUGUUUAAAGAUCACCCUGCUAAGAAUAGAAACUGAAACACACGCUCAGGCGUGUGCACAUACAGCUCGAAGGAAGGGCAGGAUCCAAUGGAGAAACCCCUGACUUAGUAGAAGAUGGUCUGGUUCACAGAACCUCCAAGCAGGAAAGACUGCCAGCAAGCAUUCUGUCUAGAGCUGGUCUGUUACAGGAGAGACAACGGCCCAGAAAGGCAGGGCCUGGGGAGCACCACACACUGGACUUCAGGUUUCUGUCUCUCAAUUUCAAGCACGUCUCUUCAGCACACUGCCUCAGAAGCAAGCAGCUCAGAAGGUUGACCAGGAUCAACAUGGCACCACACUUCCAGGACUUGGCUGGGAGAAGGAUUAAGAAAGAGCAUCCACUAUUGCCCCCCUGCCUAGAACAUGUUAAACAAGUGUGUUAACUCUGUGAUACACCUCCAACCAACAACACCACAUUUGAAAAAGAAUUUUUUUUUUCGUUUUUCGAGACAGGGUUUCUCUGUGUGGUUCUGGCUGUCCUGGAACUAGCUCUGUAGAUCAGGCUGGCCUUGAUCUACCUGCCUCUGCCUCCAGAAUGCUGGAAUCAAAGACAGCCUGGCACAAAAUUAUUUUUAAAAGUUGAAAACUAGAUGUCCAAUAACAAGAAUUUGGUCAAAGCUCAGUUUAAUGGCACAUGCUUGUGAUUCCAGUACUCAAAAGGCUGAAGGAGGAAGAUUGCUAUGAAUUUGAGUCCAGUUGGGGGCACAUAGUGAUUUCAAGCCAGUCUGGGUAGAGUGAGUACUUUUCUCAAAGAGAGGAGGGGGAAGAAAAAGAGGAGGAGGGGACUAGACCAGUGAAAUUAAUAACCAUCAUACAGAGUGUUCCAUGUCCAUUGAAAACAGAUCUUACGGGCUGGAGAAACGGCUCAGAAGUUAAGAGCGCUGGCCUCCCUUCAAGUGGACCUGGGUUCAGUUCUCAGCCACACAUGGUGGGUCACAGCUGAAUGAAAAAGUGGACUAAAAAGAAGGACAUGACUUCUCCUAAGAGGGGAGUGGAGGUUUAUUGUAAACAAAAGGAAGAGCACAGGAGAUAUGAGGGUGAGCAGAGCCGGAGGCAUCUGGAAGGGUCCAGAGUGAACAUAGCCAGACUGAACUGAACCUUGUGUGGGGAGGGGAGAGGGAGAGCCAAGAGACCAGGAGACCAAAGGGGCAGAAGGGUGAAAAGGGUAAAAGGAGCAGCUGGAUUGUAGAGGGAAGAGCAGCUGGGGGAUGGGCAGCCCAGUCCCUGAGCUGGAGAGUUCAGGGUAGGUGUUGGAGUAUGCCAGCAAGGAGGACCCUGUAACGGGUAGGGACUGAGGGAUGCUGGGAGAACUUGGAAGCCAGUGUCCACUCUGAUGUGUUAGACAUGCACCUCAGCCAUUUGUCCAGGGUUUGCUAUCUAACAACAACCAUUUAUAACUCCAGUUCUAGGGGAUCCAACUGCCUCUUCUGACCUCACAGGGCACAGACAUACAUGCAAGCAAAACACUCAUA